rnacentral:pre_miRNA from 1 species
GUCUUCUGGGGAUCUUGUUAAAAUGCAGAUUCUAACUCAGGAGGUCAGUGGUGAAGCCUGAGACUCUGCAUUUAUAACAAGCUUCCAGGUGAUAUUGA